rnacentral:rRNA from 1 species
AUUGAACGCUGGCGGCAUGCUUUACAAAUGCAAGUCGAACGGUAACAGGCCGCAAGGUGCUGACGAGUGGCGAACGGGUGAGUAAUGCAUCGGAACGUGCCCAGUCGUGGGGGAUAACGCAGCGAAAGCUGCGCUAAUACCGCAUACGAUCUAUGGAUGAAAGCGGGGGACCGUAAGGCCUCGCGCGAUUGGAGCGGCCGAUGUCAGAUUAGGUAGUUGGUGGGGGUAAAGGCUCACCAAGCCAACGAUCUGUAGCUGGUCUGAGAGGACGACCAGCACCACUGGGACUGAGACACGGCCCAGACUCCUACGGGAGGCAGCAGUGGGGAAUUUUGGACAAUGGGCGCAAGCCUGAUCCAGCAAUGCCGCGUGCAGGAAGAAGGCCUUCGGGUUGUAAACUGCUUUUGUACGGAACGAAACGGCUCUGGUUAAUACCUGGGGCUAAUGACGGUACUGUAAGAAUAAGCACCGGCUAACUACGUGCCAGCAGCCGCAGUAACAC